UACGAAGGGGGCUAGCGUUGCUCGGAAUCACUGGGCGUAAAGGGUGCGUAGGCGGGUCUUUUAAGUCAGGGGUGAAAUCCUGGAGCUCAACUCCAGAACUGCCUUUGAUACUGAAGAUCUUGAGUUCGGGAGAGGUGAGUGGAACUGCGAGUGUAGAGGUGAAAUUCGUAGAUAUUCGCAAGAACACCAGUGGCGAAGGCGGCUCACUGGCCCGCACCUGACGCUGAGGCGCGACAGCGUGGGGAGCGAACUGG
rnacentral:rRNA from 1 species